rnacentral:tRNA from 1 species
CCGUUAGCUCAGUUGGUAGAGCAUCUGACUUUUAAUCAGAGGGUCGCUGGUUCGAACCCAGCACGGCUCA